rnacentral:rRNA from 1 species
AGCAGUAGCCACGGGAAUACGGAGGGGGCUAGCGUUGUUCGGAAUUACUGGGCGUAAAGCGCACGUAGGCGGCUUUGCAAGUCAGAGGUGAAAGCCCGGGGCUCAACUCCGGAAUAGCCUUUGGGACUGCAUCGCUUGAACACGGGAGAGGUGAGUGGAAUUCCGAGUGUAGAGGUGAAAUUCGUAGAUAUUCGGAAGAACACCAGUGGCGAAGGCGGCUCACUGGACCGUUGUUGACGCUGAGGUGCGAAAGCGUGGGGAGCAAACAGGAUUAGAUACCCCCGUAGUCCCUGUCUCUUAUAC